rnacentral:ncRNA from 2 species
CCAAUACCCCGGGGGUGCCCGGAAGGGCUGAGAAGUGCUACUUUGGCACUAACCCUUGGAACCUGAUUCUGGGUAAUACCAGCGGAGGGAAGUGGGGUUUUAAAGUUU